UUUCCUAUUGACAAAUGUCUUUCUUGUGCUUUUUGUAAUGCUGUUCUGUUUGGAGCAAGUUUGUUCCCUUUGGCAGAAAACACUAUUCAUGAGAAAAAUUUUCUAAUGAAAAAAAUCCUAGACUUUGGUGCUGAGUAUCAGCAGCAUAAGGAAAAGCACAACUGUGUGAGGAUUAGAACUUUAUAUGUGUAAUUGACUUCAGGCUCCAACCAAAGACAGCAUCAGGAUAAAUCCUCUUAUGCUUUUACUUGCUCUGAACCACCUCUCAGAUGUCCAGGUUCAUGGUAAAAUGUGUUUCAUCUAUGCCUGAAGUAUCUUGAGGCUCUAAAUCUUUGCAAGAGUAUUUUAUUCCCUCAUCCAUGUUAGAAAAACAUCACCAGGAAGGCAAACAUAGUUACCUGAUGGUCUCAUGUUAGACUUUUUGUUUAUUUAGGUAAGCACCUCUUCCUACUAGUGGACUCAUCUCAGAAGAUUUCAAAAACAAAAGUCUCAAGUGACGUGGAUAUUUCCACCUGGUUGUAGUGGGAUAGGCUGGAUUGAUGAUUUUUCACACUAAGCUCUGAGUGUUCCAAUGAGUUCCUUGGAAGUCUCUCAGGAUCAACAGGGGUUCGUGUAAGAAGAGAAAUGGCUUUCUGUGGACAGAUGCAAAGCUGAGCUGCCAAGAAGUUUGAUGGGAUGGUAGAGGAGGUAGUUCUCUAAAUAUUGGAAAUCCCAAGCCUGUGGAAGGUGAUGGCACAUAAGGAAAGACCUCACACUUUGGAGCCGAUGGACUUGGCUUUAGAAUCCCAGCUGCACCUCUUACUGGCAAUGAGACUUUGCAAAUUUAUUUUAACUUCUCUAAGCCCUCAGUUUCCAUCUCUGUAAAAUAUGGUUGUAAAAAUGCCAUGAAAUAAUGUAUGUAAGGAAAUUCAUUAGCACAGUGCCUAAUAAAUUUCAGUUUCUCUUUUCUUUGCCUUAAAUUCCUUAGUUUUCUCCCAUCUCAGGCUCUCUCUCUCUCUACGUCUCUAUGAAACAGCUCUGCUAAAGAAAGAUGCAAACUUUUGAUAAUCUACCCUUGAAGAAAAGCUCCUUGGAAUUUGGACCUACAGUUUGAAAAUUUGGCAUGCUACACCAACACUACAGUGACAAGGGAAAAAAUUGUUUGUGACAGAGAAAAAUUACCUGCAAUUUACAAUACCCAGCUGCCUCCAAAGGAGGUUCUUUGCUGAACAGAGUGAUGGGUAUGAGGAUGCAGGGUUAAGAGAGUUCACCAAAUUGUUCUGCAUUAGAAAAAUCCUGUUUAUUCAUUUAUUGUAGGAGGUAGGCAGGGGUGAGUCAGGGUGAAUGGAAAAUGAAUGAGAUCCAGAAGAACCAGGGAAAAUGUGGAGCCUAUGUGUGGCAAGAUUGAAGGGUGGGAAAGUGGCUAAGGGGAACUUUCUGAGGAGACCCCAGAUGUUAAACAGGAAUUUUUAUUAAAAUUUGCUAUGUGGUGCUCCAUAUAAUCCUUUCAUGCCUUUCUCCAUAAAACCUACAAUAAUAUCUAUAUUUCUUAUCACUAUGUUGAAGGAAAUUGAGUUUGUUCUUGUUGAGAAGUACAAGAACAAAUUGAAGUGUUAAGUCCCACUUCAAGGUGUUUGUGACCCCAGGACAGGGCUGCCUAUGAGGCCCAGGAACAUCUGGGUCCCAUUACUUAAAAAUCAGCAACCUCUCCUCUGGCUGAAGACAUGCAUUAUUUUUAAAAAGCAGAAAGAAAGAACCAACACCUAGAAACCAUUGUCUUGGGGCCCAGGACAAUACGACUCAGCUCUGAAGGAUAAAGGUAGAGUUUUACCAGCCAAAGGUACACAAAGUCCAAAAGACUGGCCUUAACUCAGUGAUGUAGUUUGGAUAUUUGUCCCUGCCCAACUCUCAUGUUGAAUUCUAAUUCCCAGUGCUGGAGGUGGGGCCUGGUGGGAGGUAUUUGGUCAUGGGGGUGGAUUCCUCAUGGCUUGGUUCUGUCUUCAUGAUAGUGAAUGGGUUCGCAAGAUAUCUGGUCAUUUAAAAGUGUGCGGCACUCCCCUACUCUUUCUUUUGCUCUUGCUCUGGCCAUGUGACAUGCCUGCUCCCCCUUCACCUUCCACCAUGAUUGUAAGCUUCCUGUGGUCUCUCUAGAAGUCGAGUAGAUGCCAGCACCAUGCUUCCUGUACAGCCUGUAGAACUGUGAGCAAUUAAACCUCUUUUCUUUAUAAAUUGUCCACUCUCAGAUAUUUCUUUAUAGCAACGCAAGAAUGGCCUAACACACUCAGAACUUCUCUAUGUACCUCACAAAAUGGUUAUAAGGCCCUCAACUCUUAAUCUUUCUAUUGUAAACAUUGUUGAUAUUGAGAAUAUUUACCUGAUGCUGCAAAAUUUGUGUGAAAAGUCAAAGAAUAAAAGUGUUUAAUAAAUCCCA
rnacentral:lncRNA from 1 species